CACUGAUACAGCUACACACACAGAUCCUCUUGGGUCUUCUGAUAUUUCAGGACAUGAGGUGUCCUUUAAUUCAUCACACCAUAGAGACAUGAGGUGUCCUUUAAUUCAUCCCACCAUAGAGACAUGAGGUGUCCUUUAAUUCAUCACACCAUAGAGACAUGAGGUGUCCUUUAAUUCAUCACACCAUAGAGACAUGAGGUGUCCUUUAAUUCAUCCCACCAUAGAGACAUGAGGUGUCCUUUAACCACCAUAGAGACAUGAGGUGUCCUUUAAUUCAUCUCACCAUAGAGACAUGAGGUGUCCUUUAAUUCAUCACCAUAGAGACAUGAGGUGUCCUUUAAUUCAUCACACCAUAGAGACAUGAGGUGUCCUUUAAUUCAUCACCAUAGAGACAUGAGGUGUCCUUUAAUUCAUCACACCAUAGAGACAUGAGGUGUCCUUUAAUUCAUCCCACCAUAGAGACAUGAGGUGUCCUUUAAUUCAUCACACCAUAGAGACAUGAGGUGUCCUUUAAUUCAUCACACCAUAGAGACAUGAGGUGUCCUUUAAUUCAUCACACCAUAGAGACAUGAGGUGUCCUUUAAUUCAUCACACCAUAGAGACAUG